rnacentral:rRNA from 1 species
CAUUAAAGAGAGCAAUUUUGGUUACAGACGAGCAUGCGCUCCAUUAGCCAGUUGGCGGGGUAACGGCCCACCAAGGCGACGAUGGAUAGGGGUUCUGAGAGGAAGGUCCCCCACAUUGGAACUGAGACACGGUCCAAACUCCUACGGGAGGCAGCAGUGAGGAAUAUUGGUCAAUGGUCGGCAGACUGAACCAGCCAAGUCGCGUGAGGGAAGACGGCCCUACGGGUUGUAAACCUCUUUUGUCGGAGAGUAAAGUACGCUACGCGUAGCGUAUUGCAAGUAUCCGAAGAAAAAGCAUCGGCUAACUCCGUGCCAGCAGCCGCGGUAAUACGGAGGAUGCGAGCGUUAUCCGGAUUUAUUGGGUUUAAAGGGUGCGUAGGCGGCACGCCAAGUCAGCGGUGAAAUUUCCGGGCUCAACCCGGAGUGUGCCGUUGAAACUGGCGAGCUAGAGUGCACAAGAGGCAGGCGGAAUGCGUGGUGUAGCGGUGAAAUGCAUAGAUAUCACGCAGAACCCCGAUUGCGGAGGCAGCCUGCUAGGGUGCGACAGACGCUGAGGCACGAAAGCGUGGGUAUCGAACAGGAUUAGACACCCUGGUAGUCCACGCAGUAAACGAUGAAUACUAACUGUUUGCGAUACAAUGUAAGCGGUA